rnacentral:rRNA from 1 species
UACGUAGGGUGCAAGCGUUAAUCGGAAUUACUGGGCGUAAAGCGUGCGCAGGCGGUUUUGUAAGUCUGACGUGAAAUCCCCGGGCUCAACCUGGGAAUUGCGUUGGAGACUGCAAGGCUAGAAUCUGGCAGAGGGGGGUAGAAUUCCACGUGUAGCAGUGAAAUGCAUAGAGAUGUGGAGGAACACCGAUGGCGAAGGCAGCCCCCUGGGUCAAGAUUGACGCUCAUGCACGAAAGCGUGGGGAGCAAACAGG